CAAUUUGAUUACUUAAACUGUUAAUUUGUUCGCUUGCUAGUAAUUGAUUUGCCUCUCCAUUUAUGUGAAUGUCUGUCGAAACUCCGAUGAAGACCCAUAUAUAUACAGUGUAGCUAGCUGCAAAGAUGAAGAAAAUAAGCACAUGUUAUCUAAGCGCCUGAGAUAAAAACGUCAAGUUAUAUUAGGAGAAUUCUACAUAGAUAGAUAACGGCUACUGUGAAAAGUUGUGUUAAGUAAUACUGCACAAAAAGACCGCAUGUUCGACGGAUCAAUAGUUUCGUUUGACAAAGUUUCUGUAUAAAAACAUUGAUUUAACGGCUACCGCAUCUCGUGAUUCAUAGUAGUCAUGGUGUUUAUAUCUUUAUUAAAAUAUAUUACCACCAUAUCUGCAAAGUGUCACGGUAACGGGAUUUGGAAAACCAAAGAUAACCGUAGUUGCGGGAGCAAAUAAGUACCAUUUAGUGAUAUUAGUAUAUUAAAAAACCGUUUUUUGGUUUGUCAAGAAAGUACAGUCGAAGUUAUAAAGUGGAAACAACCUAGGAAUCUUAAAUAUUUACGAUUCUAGGUUCUGUCAUUUGUUAAAGAAAAUUCAUUCCAAAUUAAAAAAUAGAGUAUUAUGCCAAUAUGCGCUUUUUGCUAAGUCCAUCAACUUUUCAUGCAAAGAUACAUGUAUUUCAUUUUUGACGAGUCUAGGAGAAUUCCAAAGAACGACUUUUUUAAAAGGUCUAUACUCCAUUAAAGAAUCUAUAAGAUACUAAAAACUAAAAAAAGGGCUUUUGAUUACCAUUAUUAAGACAAGUAAUAUUGAGGACAAUUUGGGGCAAGAGGUAAACAAAGUGAUAGCAAGAACUAGUAAAACUUAAUAGGAUUUUAACAAUACUCAUAAACAAAACUUCGGUUUAACGAUUUUGAUAUUUUCAUUUUGCUUCAAUAAUUUCAUUAUGCACCAUUUCAAUGCACGGCAUUUGAUGAAGAAGAAAGUUCAUUCGUUUAUUACAAACUAUUUCAUCCUUCUUUUUCUUUUUUCAAUUUAUAAAACAUUUAAAGAACCCAAAUAGAAAAGCCCGAAUUGAAAGACAUGGUUCAUCAUUGUUCGUU